rnacentral:rRNA from 1 species
GUUCUGGCUCAGGACGAACGCUGGCGGCGUGCCUAAUACAUGCAAGUCGAACGGUCUUUCUAUGGAAGCUUGCUUCCACUGAGAAGAUAGUGGCGAACGGGUGAGUAACACGUGGGUAACCUGCCCAUAAGAGGGGGAUAACAUCCGGAAACGGGUGCUAAUACCGCAUAGUUUUCUUGAUCGCAUGAUCGGGAAAGGAAAGACGGCCUUUGUGCUGUCGCUUAUGGAUGGACCCGCGGCGUAUUAGUUAGUUGGUGAGGUAACGGCUCACCAAGACGAUGAUACGUAGCCGACCUGAGAGGGUGAUCGGCCACAUUGGGACUGAGACACGGCCCAAACUCCUACGGGAGGCAGCAGUAGGGAAUCUUCCGCAAUGGACGAAAGUCUGACGGAGCAACGCCGCGUGAGUGAAGAAAGGUUUUCGGAUCGUAAAACUCUGUUGUCAGAGAAGAACAAGUUGGAGAGUAACUGCUCCAGCCUUGACGGUAUCUGACCAGAAAGCCACGGCUAACUACGUGCCAGCAGCCGC